AUUGUAUUGGAAGGUCGGAAAGCCCAGCUGCGUUGUUUAAUGCACGUUAUUGUGGACAUGAGCAGAACUCCGGAAGGGGAAAAUAGAGUCUCUAGAGAAAGCAAGUAAAAGAUUGGUGUCAGGGAUGGAGCGGCAGUAUUAUGAUAAUGAGACGUGUACUUGGAAAACGGAGAAGGAAUGGAGGGAAAGAGAGAGGGAGAAGAGGGUUUAAGUGUUUGACCGUCAAUCGUCCACAUGGCUGGCUGCCACCGGAAACUUCAGGAAGAUUGCCCAUUAUUUGUAUUUUUUUCCUAUGGCCCCAGAAAAGUGAGGCAGUGGGAGAACCUAUUCAAAGAGCCAUGGGACCUCUUCAUCUGCAGGCAGUUUCAAUCAAUGUCCCAAGAGAAUAAGGGUACAUCCUUGUAUACCAUAGAUUAUAUGUCUACCUAUGUUGGCAAAGUUUGUAAACAAAAAUACAGUUUAAAAGUCACGCAAUGUAUAAACCUUUUACAACUGGAGCAGGCCAACCAUACUGGGAGUACACACUUAUGUUUCAGCCCAGAAAUAACACACCUAAUUCAAGGUAUCAAACCUAAAUAGUUUAGACUCAAGUGUGCUAUUGUUGGGCUGGACCGGAAGUCUUCUCACCCAGUAGAUAAGGGAUCAGUGGAGCGAGGAUGGCCACCUCCGGUAUUGAAUUAUUUUUGUUUACCUGAAAUUAUGCUUUUGUGGUAAAUAGCCUACUUGUUACUAAAACUUUACAUUUGAGUUAGCUUACUUGUACACUUUGAAAUGAUAUGAAACAGUGUUGAUUCUUUGAAGUGAAGUGUUUAAACAUGUUUUAAUUGUUAACUUAACCAUUAUUCAAUAUUAACUAGUGUUGAUGUUGAUUAAUUACAGAUCACAAUCCUGCAAUAAAAAAGGGAAGGGAAUGUUUGUGUUUGUUUCUCAAAUGAUCAUUACCAUUUUGUCAGUCAUAAGCUCUCCAAUUAGAUUUAUUUGAUUGUCACAAUUUUUUCAGGAGAUCAGCCAUGUGGGGGGCGGCAGGUAGCGGUUAGAGCGCUGGGCCAGUAACCGAAAGGUUGCUUGAUCGAAUCCCCGAGCUGACAAGGUAAAACUCUGUCGUUCUGCCCCUGAACAAGGCAGUUAACCCAAGGCCGUCAUUGUAAAUAAGAAUUUGUUCUUAACUGACUUGCCUAGUUAAAUAAAGGUUAAAUAAUUUUAAAAAGUUGACCCAUUAUGCAGCUGAUAAUGGCAUGCAAUGCCAAUGCAGCCAUAGGCCUACAGCAGUGGUUCCCAACUCCAGUCCUUGAGUACCCUCAACAGCACACCUGAUUCAACUCAUUGAGGGCCUGAUGAUUCGUUGACAAGUUGAAUCAGGUCUGUUUGUCCGGGGCUAGAAUAACUGUACCCUCGACAUUGUGCAUCUGAAUUAGAUAAUAGCUUAACCCACACAAUGUUUGUAUUGUUCAGCUAUAUGUUAUCAAUUUAAAAACUAUACCAGUAGGCAAUGUAUGAGGCUGAUCAUUAUACUAGAUUUUCUACAUGCCUUGUGCUGACACAAGAUUGUUUAGUUCAUAUCCAACCCUUGCAAUCGAGGUGGUUUAAGACUACCACAAUAACUACAUUGUCUACGCUAAAUGUGUUUAAAUUGUAAAAGAAUGACACGUUUCAAGUUAAUGUCACAUGCACAGUAAAAUGCCUUUAAUGCGAACUCAAAACCCAACAAUGCAAUAAUCAAAUGUAUUACUAGAAAAAAAGCACACAAGAAAUAUGAAAUACACAAUAAAGUAAACAAACAUACUAUAUACAGAAAAUAUUUAAAAAGUCAGUUCCAAUACCAUAUUUACAUGUGCAGGGAUACUGGGGUGAUGGGAGGUAGAUAUGUGUGGGGUAAGGUGACUAGGCAACUGGAUAUAAGAUAAACAGAGUAGCAGCAGCUUGUGGGUGUAGAGUUGGUAUAAAUGUAUGUGCAUAUUAUGUGUGAGUGAGAAAAUGGAGUGAGUGUUUGCUUUGGAGUGACAGUGUGUAGGGCCCUGUGAGUGUGCAUAGACAGUGCAAAAUACUGAAAUAGAAGGUCAAUAAAGAUGCAAGGUAAACUUGGUCCGUGCAAGUUUGUUAGCUAUUUUUCAGUCGUAUUGCUUGGGGAUAAAAGCUGUUCAAGCAGAGAAAAUCUAUGGCUUGGAUGGUUGGGAUCUUUGACCUGAUAUGGAGGUCCAGGAUGGCAGGGAGCUUGGCCUCAGUGAUGUACUGGGCUGUGCGCACAACCCUCUGUAGCGCCAUACGAUCGAGGGCGAUGCUAUUGCUAUACCAAGCAGUGAUGCAGCCAGUCGAUAUGCUCUCGAAGGUACAGUUGUAGAACCUUUUCAGGAUUUGAGAGCUCAUGCCAAACUUUUUCUACUACUCUGUUUAUUAUCCAUACAUAGUCACUGUACCUCUACCUACAUGUACAUAUGACCUCAAUCCCUCGAAUAACCUGUACCCCCUGUAUUUAGCCUCGCUACUGUUAUUUUAUUUUUGCACCUUUUUUUCCCUUCAUUACUUUCUUCAGUUUAUUUCAGUAAAUACUUUAACACUUAUUUUUCUUAACUGCAUUGUUGGUUAAGGGCUUGUAAGUAAGCAUUUCACUGUAAGGUCUAUCUAUACCUGUUGUAUUCGGCGCAUGUGAUUUAUAUAUCUUUUUGAUUUAGUGACGCCGAAUUAUAAUCACCGCAACCAGAAAGGCAGCCUCACCCCGACUCCACUAUCCUGUCUGCCCGGUGAAUGAAGAAUCCAUCGAGUUAGAUAGCCGUGGGGGGCAUAUUGUCUGAGAGCCACGUUUCUGAAAAGCAAGGAACAUUGCAAUAGUUGGGCCAUAAGAAAUACUUUUUAUUCAAUGGGGCUAGGCAAAGCAAAGAUGACAGAAUACUUGUCUUUUCACUUAGACAACAAUAUAGCUUGAAGUACAGUAUGUUUACAAUAUCAACAAGUCUUUUAAACGUUCCAAAUUACAUUAUAUUCAUACAGUGUAAGGGGGCACUUUUGUCAUGACAAGGUGCUCUACUCAAUUGACAACAGAAUAAUUGUCCAAAGCACAGCAUAUGACAACCAUGUCAUAUAACUGAGGGAUGUCUUCUUUCAUGUCUGGAAAAAGAUGAAGAAGUAGUAGAAACUGAUGCUGCUGCAGCAUUACCCAUCUUCACAGGGGGAAUCCAGUCAACAUGGGUGUCUUGAUAUAGGUCAGCUGGUGAACCUACAGUACAUCAACAAAUGAGAAGCACACCUGACGUUAGAAUAUCAAAUCUUCAGGUCACCUAUACCAUCGCGGCUCUUAAGUGUUUGGUUGUGUUUAAUUCAUUCAGGUGUUUUAGUGUCAUAAAGAUUAAAUAUAUUGUUGGGCUGGAACAACUAUUACCAUUGGUUGCUCCAGCCUUUUUGAGGCCUUUGUCCUAUGCGGUAAUGUCCAUACAUUUUCCCUCAUUUUAUGAAUAAAGUUAUAAAAUUAUCAUUGGAUUAUCAUUUUUUGAACAAUAAUUUCCUUCAGAAUAUAUGGACGUCAUAUUGUACAAUUUGUGUCUACCCUUUUCAUGGUCAUGGCAAGAAGGGAACCAGCUUUUGUAAAAUGAACGUAAUAUUUUACAUUUCAUAGCCGAUACUGAGAAUUUAAGCAGCAGGUUAGAAGAAUUAGGUUAAGGCUGUGAAAAAAGUUAAGGUUAGCUAAAAAACAAAAUAAAACUUUUUAUGUAAAUUUGAGAAAAGCUGGAUCCCUUUAAGCAAAGACCCCUUUUCGGCCUAGAUUACAUGGUUGUUUUCAAGACAAGGUCGUUCUAAUUGAUCUGCUGUCAGUAGAGUAGGCCUAGACUACCAUCGUAUUAAAAAAGAUUAUGUUAAUAUCUCCAGUGAUAUAAAGUGUAGUAGAAUUGCAUUUAAUGUUAUCAAAGGCCACAUUUUUCCCGUGCAAAGGAAAGAAACGUCUCUGAUAUAGGAUAUAAACCUAUGCCGCUACGCGUUUAUUAACAGCCUAAAUUAUCACUAUCAAAUCUACUCAUCACAUUAAGAAUAGUAGGUUCACAUUUGCCCGCAAAUGCGAUGAUAGAGGCAUGUAAUGCUUUGUUAUAAGGGGCAUUUAUGGUGAGAAAAAAAAAUGGAUUCCCAAAACUUGAAACCCACGCGAUACAUGCUAAAAGCUAGACUACAAGCUAUCGAGCUAACUCACUUAGUGUUGUUAACGCCUGGUUAGCAUACCAGUGAAACUAAACUCAAAAUCGAUAAGACUUGACCUUCCAAUGAUGAAAUGAUCGUAGCAAACCCUGUAUUGAAAGCAGUCUGGGUUGAGGUCUUGACGGGCAAAAAGGUUUCUUCGCUUUUCUGAGUUCUUGAGUCUUAUCUCAUUGGUAUUGCCAAUGGUGUUUCAUGAUUGCGGGGAAUCUGUAAACAUCUUUUCCGGCCUUGUUUGAGGAGCCAUAUACUCCACAGAAAAUGACCGUGGUGAUGAAUCCACUAGUUCUAGUCACUUUUAUCAUUCAGUUUGGGGUAGCCCCUCGGCUGUUUUCAGAAUAAUUAAUGCAGUGGUCUUCCAACAUGGCCGCCAGGAGGCGUU
rnacentral:lncRNA from 1 species